rnacentral:rRNA from 1 species
UACAGAGACUGCAAGCGUUUAUUCGGAUUCACUGGGCGUAAAGGGUGCGCAGGCGGUCGUGUGUGUCAGAUGUGAAAUCCCGGAGCUUAACUCCGGAACUGCGUCUGAAACUACACGACUAGAGCAUUGGAGAGGGAAGUGGAAUUCAUGGUGUAGCAGUGAAAUGCGUAGAUAUCAUGAGGAACACCAGAGGCGAAGGCGACUUCCUGGACAAUUGCUGACGCUCAGGCACGAAAGCAUGGGGAGCAAAAGGG